rnacentral:ncRNA from 1 species
UCGAUGAAACUGAACCUUUUCGAUGGGAUGCCAUUGAAAACGAACCGGCUAAUCUUCUGUAAUGCUAUUAUGAGGAUUGCCCUUUGAGGCUGAUAGCAAUAGGUCGCCCUAUGGUCGGUUACAUGCUUUUGUUGA